GACGAACGCUGGCGGCGUGCCUAAUACAUGCAAGUAGAACGCUGAAGAGAGGAGCUUGCUCUUCUUGGAUGAGUUGCGAACGGGUGAGUAACGCGUAGGUAACCUGCCUUGUAGCGGGGGAUAACUAUUGGAAACGAUAGCUAAUACCGCAUAACAAUGGAUGACACAUGUCAUUUAUUUGAAAGGGGCAAUUGCUCCACUACAAGAUGGACCUGCGUUGUAUUAGCUAGUAGGUGAGGUAACGGCUCACCUAGGCGACGAUACAUAGCCGACCUGAGAGGGUGCUCGGCCACACUGGGACUGAGACACGGCCCAGACUCCUACGGGAGGCAGCAGUAGGGAAUCUUCGGCAAUGGGGGCAACCCUGACCGAGCAACGCCGCGUGAGUGAAGAAGGUUUUCGGAUCGUAAAGCUCUGUUGUAAGUCAAGAACGGGUGUGAGAGUGGAAAGUUCACACUGUGACGGUAGCUUACCAGAAAGGGACGGCUAACUACGUG
rnacentral:rRNA from 1 species